GUUUACAUGGACAUUUAUUUUUGAACAUUUUUUUUUAAUUUCAAUGUUUUAUUGUCAGAAAGUCCCUGUUACAAGAUUGAGGAUCACCUCUAGGAAAAUGGUG